UUUUCCCUGCGGUGUUCGCGAAGGCAUAUAUUCCUUUGAACCAAUACGUUCGCUUCAGGUUGCCGGGAGUCGCAGUGGGCGCGAGUGUCUGUUUGCAGAUGCACCCGAAACUGCCCGAGGUAACCGCCUUGUCUGCAAGGUUCAAGCGGAUUCCAGCCCGAACGGCAUCUGCGGGGAUUCC
rnacentral:other from 1 species